AUAGAAAAGAUUCUGUUUCCCUAAACUAGCAUUUUCUGGUUCUUGUUUUCUUCUUACACCUGAACACUAGAAUUUGCCUUCAGAAACUACCCAUGGGAUUUGGUGGAAAAAAGUAUUCCCUCUUCUCUCAGAUUGGUUUUUAACUAAAAGUUAGACUGUGUAGCAGUUGAAUCUCAGGUGAUCCUGAGUUGUCUGUUGGAGGUGAUCUUUAGUCUUUUGUAAACACGGCUUUAUUUUGUGAAGACACAGGGGAUGUGUUCUAGGGCGGUAAGUUAUAAUGCCUGAUAUGUUGUACAAGACCUGAAGAAGAGAAUACGAAAGCGGGAAUAAUAAGUAUUAAGAGAAUAGCAUGAGCACAGCAAGUGCCUCCUCCUCAGAUAAGUUUAGGACAUGAAAAAAACAACUGUUGGUUCAUUAGAAACCUUAACCUGCAGCUGCAUCUACUGAUGCUGCUUCAAACUUUAUUUAUGUCUAGGCAGAAUAUAUUUUUUAUAUGUCCUGUAAAUAUUACAGCUCUUAAUGCUUUCUUUGGCUUUUAUUCUUUAUUCCAUUAUCCUAUGAGAAAUCCAUCCUGGGAGCAGACAUCGGGCGCAACAUUACAUGAGACUCAAUGAAGUUGUUAGAGUAAAAUUUAAUGGGAUAUGGACUAUGUGCUGGCCCUUUUCCAAGGAUGAAUUUUACCUUUUUUUUGCUUGAAUUUCUGAUUUCUUCCUUUGUGAAAGCUCCUCUAUUUCUGUAAAGGUGUCCUUAUGCUCCGUAGAAAUUAAUAUGUAUUUUAGUCCUUUAUUAAAAAUGUGACAAGAAUACUAGGAACAAGGUAAUGUCUUUUCUAUUCUUUUAUCUUAGCGAGACUACUUGCAGAAAAGGAAAAGGAAGGAAAUACAAAUUCACUGGCAUAAAUAUUAUUUGUAAAUAAUAGCCUCAAAAUCAUAUUCCUUCUUUUUUUUUUUUCCUGUCCCAUUUUAAGAUCAGUAUAUUACCCAGGAGACCUUGCAAAAAUUGGAAACGUGUUAUGACCACUUUUUUUAUUUCCAUGCUAUGCAAAAGAGCAAUCAAUAUUGCAGCACUGUAGUUCUUUGAUCUGACUUUAUUAUGCAUGUGGAUGUCUAUUGCAUCCACAGGUAUUUACUAAGCUUGUCUUCAUAUGAUUCUUGAUAAAACUAAGAACAACAUCCUGUCUUAAAUCAGAAAAUGUAUGUGGAUGUAUUUUAUAAUAAUAAUUUUCUAAACAUCAAGUUACAGAAUUCACUUUUACAGUCUGCUUAGCACUGAGCUAUCCAUACUUUUGUAUUAUAAUUUAAUAAUAUGCUGUCUUUUUCAGCUAUGGUAGUAAUUUUUAAUGACUUUUUUUGCACAGUAAGUAUGUAUGCAAGUAUUUAUGAAUAUUCAAUUCUCUGCUUCACGGAGGUCACAUUUUCAAAGAGAGCAGAUAGUUCAGGAAAAAAUUCCUACACAUACACACACACAAGCACAAAUACUAUAUUUAUGAUACAGUUUAUUCUGAUAGAAACAGAAAUCAAGUAUAUUCAGUGAAACGGAAAUUUUUAGGCUAAAGAAAAAAUACUUCAGUUGUUGUCCUUGCAUUAGGAAAAGAAAUAGUAACCAUAUGCAUUUUUCCAGGGUUAUUAAAAUAGCCUAGUUUUAGAACUGAGUGAGAAACUGUGAAUUGGAAGAUAGGAGUAAGGCAUAUGGCAAAGUGGUUGAAUAUCUUAUUGCAGGAGUUUUAAACUGAUUUCACUUUAGGUCAGUUAUUGACAUUCUCCAGAACUCAAACCAUAGCUUCAACAAUCCUUCUUCAGCAAUAUUCUGCAUUUGUCUCAAAAAUGGUUUAUUUUUGAUUUUUUUUUUCCAAAAAGGAAAAAUGCCCUUGCAUUUUCAAAGUAGUUUUAAGAGGGAAAAAAAAGAAAGUGCUUUAUAUCAAGCUAAAUAAAUGACUGAAAGAAGAGAAGGUUGUUGCUUUCCCACUUCUUUCUUAUGCCACAGCUUCAAAAUGUGAUUAACUGGUUGUUACACUGUGUAAUAAAUAUGCUUCAACUGAAGAAGUGUUCAAUUGGCUGUUAACACUUUAAAUUAAUCAGUGUGUACCUCACAGACAGCUAGAAUUCAUUUUUUUGACUCUAAAGUGCCAUCUCUGUCAUCUUCUACUACAACAUAUAUGCACAGUAUUCUCUACAAAACCUUUAAAAUAGCCCUAAAGUGAUCUUCAGGGACCACACUUGUCAUGAGACAAUUACUGUCCUGUGCUAUAUGAAACUCUUGACUGCUCUUCCUGCUUUAGGGUAUCCCAGGAGAAUAAUCACUGUAUAACAAUGUCUUUUCUAUUGUGAUUUAAUAUCUUCUUAUGCUGAUUGACAAAGCAGUCAAAGAUGAAAUUAACUUAUCUUGUUUCAGAUAAUGAUGCUCAGAGGUGUACAACUGUUCUCCUUUCUGAAACCAGGCUUCAGCUACCUACAUUUAAAAAGUUAUGUCGGUCUUCAUCAGUGUAAGAUCCUGAAGAUCAUCAAGAAGGUCUCAGAUGCUGUGGUAACACUGACUUACGAGCCUGGUGAAUCACGAAAAAUCACUUGAUCAUUUGAAUAAUAUGAAAAAAGUAUUUGCUUGUAGAGACAAAAAAAAUUAAAAGAAGGCUGAAAAAACCUGGAAGGAUGAUGUGCACAAAGCAAAGACAAGCACAGAAUGACUGACCUUCAACCAAAUAUUUAAGGAACUCUGCAGAGUCUGAUAUGCUCCACACUGCAUGAUUUGAUGGGAAGGAAGCCUACCUCUACAGGAGGGCAUGGAGAAAGUAAGAUAAAGCAGCACUCUGAAAGGAGCAGCAGCAGUACAUAUCUCAAAAUAUUAUCAAAGGAGAAGUGUUUGCUUAAAGGGCAGCAGUCUCUAUUGCAGAGGAUAGAAAAUUGCUUUUAUGGGGAGAAAUACAAGCUAGAAAUUGUGCUUUAAUUUAGAAUUUUGCCACGUGGCGUAUUCUGUAAUUUCAUGUGACAAGAUUUCAAGAUAAAUAGAAGAAAUAACUAUCUUCCCACGUUGCUAAGAUACCCUGUAUUGAACGAAAACAUAUUCCUGAAUAAAGCAAGUCUUCCAGAAAAACAGCAGGACAAGAAGUAACCCACUGUAAUCAGACAAAAGUGAGUUCUUCUGGUAAGUUUCCAAAGUAAGGUUCACAAAGCCAUAAGACUUGUUGUACUGUCCCCUGCAACAACAAGCAGCCAUCUCUCUCAAAUACUUUUAAUUGGUUUAAGAGACUGUUCUCCUAUGUCUGUAACAAAUAGUCUGAACUGUCUGUGACACUCAGUGGUUGAUCCACAUUAAUAAUUUGCCGUCUGAACUCUGUUUCCAUAAAUUCAUGAGAAAUUUAAUAAUCUGUAGUAAUAAACUGUUUUCUUUUGGGUAUCCCCAAUGUAACAAGAAGAAGUGCAUUGGGAAUCACCUAUUCUCCUUCUAAGGAUAAUCUAUCCUGAACUAGGGAGCAUAUUCAAGCUUCACUUAUGAAUUUAGUUUUGAUGCUUUUUUAUUUUUCAUUAAAAAACUGUACAUUGCUAGUACAAAAAUAACCAGAAUUGUUUUAAUUUUAUGUAAUUAUUUUUUGAUAUUAUUUUAAUGUGUAUCUCAACAUUAAAGUUUAUAAUGCUUAAAAAGUAAUAAUGAACAAAACAGCUUUCAGCUUUGGAAAUGAGAUCAGUGCUUCACUAAAAAUUGAUGUAUAUGGUUCUUCAUAUUUUAAAGCACGUUUGUGAAUAGGAAAAAAUACCCGUUGCUUUAUGAAGCUGAUUUUGGAAUGAUACUUUAGUAAAUGAAUGCCUUAUGCACUUCAUCUCAAUUAAGAUGCUUUACAUUGAAUGAUGCUUUUCUUCAGCAUAUGAAAGAAUUUAUCUAAAAUCAAACAUGCUGAUUGUCCCCAAGAAACUUGAUUAUAAUCUAAACUCUUUGUGAAAUGGCUUUGUUUGUAUGAUUUCCUUUCUGAAAUGGAUUUUUCCCCUUGCUGUGACAUGAUAUAAUCUACACUCAUCAGCAAUGAAACUUGACUGGCACACUAUAAAAACAACUAGCUAUUUCAGGUAAUGAAGCAGACUUCCUGACACACUUCAGUUGCAGCUUAGUUUAAGAAAUCACUGUUCUGUAGGGUAUGCUGGCACUAAGUUACCAUGUAGGAAGCUGGAUGCUCUGACACAUUAUGUUUCUGAUUCUGUCUCAGCAGUAAGUGUAAAGCUCAUGCUUUUGGCUCCACCAUGAAGCUACCAAUUGUAACUGCAACUGCACUGUUGGCACUCAUCAUACCACUUGAAUCCUAAGCCUAAGUGUCUUUAUAUUGCUAUCUCUACCCUACCUAUGUGGAGCCUAACCUCAGAGUCAUAAGAUUUUAAAAGAACAGGAUGUUUUAUCCAGAAAUACUUACUAAGCUGUCAAAAGUCAAGCUUGCAAAAUCAAUGCCUUUUUGAGAUAUUAUUUAUAAAUACAAACAUGACCAAAAAAAAAAAAAUCUUUUACAUGAUCAGUGAAGAAGCUGUUUUAGUACAUUCCUAUUCAUCAAACAACUCUAACCUUCUAAAAUUAUUUAACCUCAUCAUCACUUUCCUCUAUUUAUGAACUUUUGCUAGUCAUAAAAAUCUUUUCUUACUGAACUGUCUCAGGGUGUAUAUCAAAACUGCAGAAUUGUAGUCUGCUUUGGUGAAGCUUUUUGUUGUUGAUUCCAUCUUGAAAGCUAUUGUACCAUUAAUUUCAUGUUUCAUACUGUGUCAUUUCUACACUAGCCUCAGCUAUUAAAUUCUAUUGCUGUCUUCCACAAAGGGGCUAACUCCUUCCUGUGAUGCCUUUAAGAAAAAUAUCUUUAAAAAUAACCUUUAAUGCACUUUGAAAUACAACAAAAUGAUUGCACAUACUGACAUGCCGCAUAUUACUCAUCCCCUAGUAUUCCCUCAAAUGAGGACAUAACACAGUUCACAUUGUUAGGUUCACUGUCUUUUAGACACAGGCAGCUGAAACAGGAGUUAUUAGCUUUAGGACAUGCUUUGUGUGUUAUUAGCUAUAGGACAUGCUUUGUGUGUAUGGGAAGGAUUCCUCAGUUGCUCUACCUGAUACAGAUCUGGGUGUGUACCAGCCAAGGAGUAUUACUAACCAAACCUGCCCAUGACAGGUCAUAUUUCAAAACAGAUUCUGCUCCAAAAUACUGGCAACUCAUGUAUGAGUCCCUUAUGAAGCUAAAUUUUUCAGAAUUUUAAGCAUUUUGUGACUAUGCCACAUGAAUAAAAUAAAAGUAUGUAAAGUGUAGUUCCACCUUACUUCAGGUAUCCUCUUUCUAAAGUAGGCUUUCUGAGAGAGAAUUUUCUGAAAUUUACCAGCAAGUAAUGUUUUGCUGAACUUCAGUGGAGCUUUGGCCAUGCAAAAUACAUGACAUUCCAGCCAUGAAAAAAACCACAGUAUUUGAGACCUUGUUAGACUUGGAACUUUAUGAGGUGAAUUUCCACCAAAAGUAGAAUUUUCAUGUUUGAAUUUAUCAUUAUAUACACUGAGGAACUUUGGCACUUUUCAAUUUAUCAAGAGUGUCCUUCUUCAGUGACAUGGGUUGUGGACGCAGAUUUCUUGCUUCAGAAAUAAGCAAACAAACAUCUAAAGAGCUAUUUUGUAUUCUCAUUCUGGACCUUUGAUCUGAAUCAGCUAGAGAUGAAAUAGUAAACUUGUGGGACUCAGUACACAGUGAGUGACCCAAUAUGAAGAGGCAGCAUUAUUGCUUCCCUGAAAAGGCACUUUGACCCUUGGUUUCAAUAGCAGUUUCAGUUGGACAGAAAAAAUAUUUCUUUCUGUGCUAUGCCUGCUUCCCUUUCUUUUCAUUUAGCAGCUGAUUUGUCAAAGGAACUAAGCCAUCAGAACCUUCAAUGAUAAGCAUUUUCAAAAAGAUCCAGUUUAGAAAUACUAAUUCUUAAAAGAACAAUUAGAAAACUAGGCAAGAAAUUACUCCUGGCUCUUGACUAGAAGGGUGAUACCUCUGUCUGAAAUUUGGAGAGUUUCAGACAGAGGUAGGAACAGCAUUAGCCAAACAGAUGCAACAAAUUAAAAAAAAAAUAAGUUGCUUUCCUCUAAUUCUUGAUGAAAUUUUAGUUUGUUAGCCAAAAUUUCAUUCCAAAUUAUUAUUUCUGUUUUCGGGACAUUUAUAUAUGAUAUUAUCCCAAACUAUACUCAGUUUCACUUUUAUUAUUCUAGUCCUCAAGUUAUUUUAUAUUUUCCCAUAUUCCUCAGCUUCUCCUUUAUUGGUGAUGGCUCUCAAAAUGUCAUUUGCAUGUAUCUCUUUUUGUGCCAAGAUUUAAUAUAAUAUUCAGCAGCACUUUUACCAAACACUAAUGUUUGAUCAGCCUCUACAACAGCUGAAUUUCACACAGUGAAGAUAGAUUUAUAGGGAAAAAAAGUAUAUCAAAUUAUAAUCUGAAACAGUGCAUACCCCCUAAAGAUGUAAGCAUAUUUCUCAGUUAACUUGACAGAAGUUCAAGAAUAGAGAUGAAGGAAAAACAAAAUACCAAAUAACUCAUGCCAAUAAUAAAAAGUGCAUCUAAAUAGAGGUCUAUAUGCACAGUGCUGUCUUCUUUUCUUUAAUAAAAACAUUUCAUACAAGAUAUAGGUGAGUUUAAUAAGCUAUCGGCCAACACCAGAUUGACCAAUGACUGAUUUAGUGUUGCAUUAUUAAUAACAAAAACUAGAUAAGCUUGGGGUAAACUGUUCUUUCUUGGAUUUUUUUUUUGCCUUGUCUUCUGCACUGACCAAAAAAAAAACAAAACCCUAUCAUUAAACAGGUAGGUGUAGUCUUUCUGAAAAUUAGGUAUUAUAGAUGUGCGUCUAUAAAUAGAUUUGUGCAAUUAGGCUUGUUAAACCUACCAAGAAAAUCACUGAUAACAGCAAAAGCACUUUAUCUACAUGCUGUCUCUGAGCAUCUCCCUCAAAACAUACAUCUCUGCUAUGAUUUCUGGAUACUUUUCAAGGUGUUCAAAAACUGUGCUUAGGUAGCUUUUUAAGUGCAGAUGCACCUGCAUGGCCAAGAGCUAUGUAUUAAAAGCUGUUGAAGCCGAGAUACAGAAGAACCUUUCUUGUGAUAGCAUGGGGUGUUGGUUACAGAACAGACUUGUGUGAAAACUUGUCCUUAGUUGAGUGCUUAGGUCAGCAAUUACCUGGCAACAGCAAUAAGCAGGUUCAUUGACACAUACAAUGGCAAUUACAUCUUCACUCAAAACCAGACAUAAGCAGUGCUAAGAAAACUCUUCAAACACUGAGGGAUUUUCCCCCUGCCACCCUGUUUUCAUCAAUAAAAUUUGUGUCUCUCUGCAAGAUAGAACAGCAUGUGUCAUUGUUAUUCAUGGAAACUGUCAAGCUUUUUAACUCUGCUGAGAAACAAGAAGAGUGAAUGACAGAUGGGGCCUGCUUUCUUGGCAAGGAAGUUCUCUGCUAGCAGAAUGCCAUAGUAUGAGUCCCAAAAGAGAGAAGAAAUGACAAUUUUACUUGCUCAUAUAUAUAAAUGUCAUCUGAAGAGAGGCCUUUCAUUGUGAAGUAGCCUGAUUUGUCGUAUUAAGCUGAUCUUCUUCAGUCUUAGCCUUAGAUGCCAAAUGGUCUUAAGAAGCUUGAAACAUUUAUAUUAGGUGUAAUAACAUUAUUGCUAGCUGCUUUAGUGGCUUCCCAAAAGCUGGAAAGUAUUUAAGUCACAGGUGAAACCUUGAGCAGAUGAGCUUUAAAAUUUUGUAAGAAAUUUCAAAAGUCCUAGCUAUUGCUGAGGUGUUCAAUCAGAGGUGUUCUUAAUCAUGCUUAAUCAUUCUUAGUACAAUGUGUUUUCCCAUGCUUAUUAAUACUCUUCAGGUCAAAAACAUGAAUCAGGGCAAUACACUCCAGUAUUACACAUGUACAUGUGCCAAGGUCCUUGAUGCACGGUCAUUUAAAGCAUGGGAAACACAUAAGUGAAAACUCCUCAACUAAGCAUGUUUGUGUGGGAACAAAGAGGCAGGAAAAGGAGGAUGAAGGCUGAAAGCAAAAACCGAAAAAAGUAAAUUAAUUUGGGGCUAAGCAAAAGCGCUCAUAUACUGAAAUGGAUGGAGUACUUAAUGUUGAAUUGGAGUACUUUCUUUGAAAAAGUCUAAGGUUUUUAGCUCUUUCAAAAUUUAAAAGUUCUUUUACAAUGUUUAUAUUUUAACUUUUUUUUUCCCAGUUUGAUGAGAGUGGGGUUCCUGAUGUUUUUGGUUUUUAGCCAAUCCGUUUGCUUCUACAUCAACUCAGAAUUUUUUUUCCCAUUGAGUAGACUUUAAAAUUGCAGCCAAAAGUUUCUUCCUAUUUUUUUUUCCUUUCUCCUCUGCUGUAUAUGAAAUUGUAGAUGCAUUUACUUGGAAAAAGUUCUAGAGAUUUUGGGAUUUACUACUUGACAGACUUAAUUAAUCACUUUAUAAAGAGCUCUUAACAUUAGCUAUUCUUAAAUUUAUCAUUAACUUCAGGAUGAAUGUUUUUUGAAAAUCCAUUUGGCUCUAUUCUUAGCUAUUUUUUAUCCUUGAACUUCUAAUGAUCAUCUUGAUAUUGUAUUAAAGGACUAAAAUUAGCUCCCCAAGGUAUGGAGGGUCCUCAGUAUCCUAGUUAUAAAAAAAUGUUUCCUCUAAAUAAUGAGGUGGGGAAUUUUCUGAAUUACAUUUAUUAGGAUUGGACAAUAUCAUGGAAAAAUGUUUCGCUUUCAGAACAUUAGCUUUAAAAAAAAUAAGUUUGCCAAGCCACACAAACAGUUGUGUGGUUUAUUACCUUUAGCCUGAUUCCCCUCUCAUUUACUCCUGAUUACUGAGCUAUAAUGAAGGGGUUCUUAUCACUUUUAGUAAAAACCUCAAGCCAUAUGAAUGUGUUCAAGAGCUCCAACUCUGAAGUGAUAGGACAGGACAAAAUGCGUCUUGAUUUAAAUUGCAGCAGCAGAGGAUGUUAUUGGCUUUCCCCAUGCGCAUUUCAGCAUUGUCUAAGCACUAUUAGCUCUCAAGUAAAAUUUCUGCAGCUCCAGCUGCUGGUGCUGCUUCUGACCUUCUGGAGUAAAAAAUUUACUUUGCCCUCAGUUUCUUGAUAGUUGUUAGCUAGUCUUUUAUUCAGAGUAUGAGAAUACUCCUCCCACCAAAAAAAAAAACGUCAAAAAUUACCCCCCACCCCAGAUUCUUUGAAUUAUUUAGGACCUCUUAGACACAUGUAACAUUUUUUAUAUCUGAUAGUCAUUAGUACUUUAUUUUCUCACCUUUCUGCUAAUAUGAAUCUCACUGAAAUUAAACAUUUCAGUUAAAAUUUUUCUAUCAGCUUUUGAUGAAACUCUUUGGUUAGUUUCACCUUUAUUUCCUUCAUAAUAUUCAGUGAUGUCUGUAUGUCUUUUUUUUGAGCCUUUAAUGUAUUCUGAGUCCUAUUACAGUGGACUAUCCUGUGAGCCUGAAUGGAGCCUGAGACUGAAAAGACAGCCUGUGAUCUCUGAAUUGCAAUAUCUGAAAAAGUCUUCCAUUUCUUAUGAAGGCUAUUUUGAAAUAUGAAUAACAACUUCCAUGGGAAAUACAAAAUAUAUGGUUAGUAAGACUGUAGAUCAACCUGACAGCAGCUAUUGGUAAUAAAGAUACUAGUAAGCAUUUUUUUUGAGUGGCAUUCUAGUCCUUUAUGUUCUACCUUGGCUUAUCUCUGCUCUUCGGCAUUUGCAUGUAAAAUGUCAAAGAUGUUAAUCAUAAAAAAGCAGGAAAAGCUUACUAAUAUCCCUCACAAAAAUACUUUCUAAUAUACUUAUCUUGAGCAUUGUUUCUUUUAGCAUUUAUUUUCUUACUUGAAUAUGGUAGAAUCAAUAUUGUAAAUCACAUUCACACAGCUCAUCAGAAAUCACUGGAUUUAGUGAUUAUAAUUUUAAAUAAAAUGAAAUUUUCUUCUUAAUGAUGGAGCAGUAUGCAGUCAUUAGAACACAGGUUAUGUAAUUGCUGGGUUGCACCCAAAAUAAAAGACCAUCAUCUUGCUUUCUGUGGCAUCUAUUAUGCCUUUCUACAGUACACGAUGGAAUUCAAUGAACUAAUGUUAUAGAAAUGUGCUGCUUCUUAUUUGCUUCAUGUUUUCAUAUACUUGUAUACUAGAAAUUUGCAGUGAUGGAACUGGAGCUGUCAGCAUUAUGAUCUUCAUUUAAUUUCUCUUUGACAAUUUCUUCAUCUACAAAUGCAGAAGGUAUUUAUACAGUAUUCAUUGUCCUAGGUUGCCACAAAAAUUGGCAACCAUUGGUAAGCUAGGGAAAUUCUACAUGUCAUUUUGAACUGUAAGCAGCAAACUAACAUUUUCAUGUGCCCACUUCUCAAGCUGUUGGGUUCUGUCUUGAUAUCUGAGACACACCAGGGAGAGAAAAAGAUGCAGGCCAUUACAGUGUUUGAGGUGACACAAAAUGCCUGUUCAAGCCCCUAAGGGGAUUUUUUUUCAGACCCCAAAGACAUGCAAUGUACCCUAGAGAAUGGCUGGAACAUGACAAGGGUUUGGGGUAUGUGAUACUCAGCAGACUGGGAAUGAAUGAGGAUGAUGGAGGUAUGAACAACCUGGUGCCAUCUCACCCAUUCAUCCUUUUAAAUUUUUAAUUGAAACAAAUGAUUUCCAUUGCAGGACCCAGGCUUAGUCCAGCCCAGCAUCCGCCCAAAACAGAAGGCAAAUGAGCAGCUAAGAGCAGCUAAGCAGCAAAUGAGCUCCCUGUAGCCCAUUCUGCUCUCCUGUUUAUCAGUGCAGAUCUCUGAAGUUUGUUGGCGAUGCCUCUAGUGAAAAAUCAGAACUUAAGGUGACAUCUGCUACCUUUUGAUAUAGUCUGCACAUUUUACAUGUUUGGUGAGAUGAGACUUUCAGUCUUGUUAAGGAAGCUUUGCAGAAUGUACUGUUUUAUUUCCAGUAAUACGACAGGUUGGAUUUUACAUUCAACCUGAAUCAGAUUGUGUGAUAAAAGUGUGAAGGCUCUGUGCAUUAGCAGACAAAGGAGACUCUUCCAUGUGAAAACAGUAAUGUUGAUGUGAGGUCUUACUAGAUACUUGGAAAAUGUAUAGCAAAAUUUCUUUAAUGGAACAGCAAGACUGAAAAUGAGGAUGUGAUCUUCAGAUCUUUCAGAUCUUUCUGAUCUUCAGAAAAGCAAAAUUCUUUUCUUAACUAUCACAGAACUGAGUUUUUUCUGUUCUUGCAAAGCUAAUGCUUCUGUUUGUUGAAAAAGAUGAUCUAAAAGAAGAUAACUUUUUUCAUCCAAAUUUCUGCAAAUGCCAUGUUCCUGUACCAUAUUUAGGCCCAAAUUACUGUGGGUUUGUGUGAAAGGAAGAAUGAGCAACUAUUUUUCCUGACAUCAGUGUUUUAUGAUUACUGAGCUAUUUAGAAAUAUUUGACAUUGUACUGAUUUUGCUUCUCAAAAUAAACUUUUCUGAUUACCCUUA